UAGUCCACGCCCUAAACGAUGUACACUAGUUGUUGCCAUGCUAGUCAUGGCAGUAAUGCAGCUAACGCAUUAAGUGUACCGCCUGGGGAGUACGGUCGCAAGAUUAAAACUCAAAGGAAUAGACGGGGACCCGCACAAGCGGUGGAGCAUGUGGUUUAAUUCGAAGAUACGCGAAGAACCUUACCUGGACUUGACAUCCUAUAAAUGAUUUAGAGAUAGAUUAGUGCUAGUUUACUAGAAUAUAGUGACAGGUGCUGCACGGCUGUCGUCAGCUCGUGUCGUGAGAUGUUGGGUUAAGUCCCGCAACGAGCGCAACCCUCGUCAUUAGUUGCUAACAGUUCGGCUGAGCACUCUAAUGAGACUGCCUUCGUAAGGGAGGAGGAAGGGUGAGGGACGACGUCAAGUCAUCAUGGGCCCUUAUGUCCAGGGGCUACACACGUGCUACAAUGGGUGGUGACAAAGGGGAGCGAGAGAGUGAUCUUAAGCAAACCUC
rnacentral:rRNA from 1 species